UACGUAGGUGGCAAGCGUUGUCCGGAUUUACUGGGUGUAAAGGGCGUGUAGCCGGGCUGACAAGUCAGAUGUGAAAUCCGGGGGCUCAACCCCCGAACUGCAUUUGAAACUGUUGGUUUUGAGUAUCGGAGAGGCAGGCGGAAUUCCUAGUGUAGCGGUGAAAUGCGUAGAUAUUAGGAGGAACACCAGUGGCGAAGGCGGCCUGCUGGACGACAACUGACGGUGAGGCGCGAAAGCGUGGGGAGCAAACAGG
rnacentral:rRNA from 1 species